rnacentral:sRNA from 1 species
AAGGAUCGAUCGGGAUACUCAUCAAAUUACAAUCGAAAACCGAGAACGCUUUGCAUAUCAAUGGCGGGCCACGCCCUCCCUCGGGAAGGUAACCUUGAGUCGGUGGAUUACAAAGAUAUGCGAGCACUCAAAUCUUAUCUGCUCGGAGUUUCAUCACAUCUCCUCCCGGCUUUU